GGGCAUGAACAAGAGGGCAGCUGUGCCCAACAACAAUUCUUUCAAUUUUGAGUACAUUCAAUGCAUUUUUACGCAUAGAUUUCACGUCAGCACUGUGUAGAUAGGUGCAUGCACAAGGCUUGCGUCUCUGCAAAUGCAAAGAAGACGAGUGACGCCCAAACCUUUAAAUAAAUGCAGUAAAUGACAAGAGGAAUAAUAACUGCAGAAAUAAUGGCAGAGGGAAAGGAUAUCCAUGCUGAGCAGCCAAACAGGACAUCCUGAUAUCCAAGGCCUGCCACCAAUACCAUCACUCCCCUGUCACCCUCUGCAUUAGACAAAGCCGAGGCAUGCCCUCAUCCGAAGACUUUGUGCUGGUGGUCCUGGAACUUCCUGUUCUCCACAUAAACAGCCAGAGAUUGUUGAUGCAUCCCAGGCCGGAGCAGCUCUGAUGACAGCCACAAGUAUGUUGUCCACGUUGAGAGGGAUACUACAUCAAAAGGGAGUAACAUCAGGGUGGAGCAGAGAGCAGGAAGGUUUCUGUUCAGCCAUCUGUUCCAGAGCUGUCCUCUGGGAGAGAGAGUACCGGUCCAUUAAGACCAAGACCACCCAACACAUGAACAGCUUCUUCCCAAGAAGUGUGUAGUGGUGGCCACAAAAAACCUAAACAAAAAAUGACAGACCCUAUCUAGAGCCAUUGGUUUGACCAUUCUGGGCUACUGUAGAAACAUGGUGGCUCAAUAUGGCGGUCUCCACGGAAGAGGACCCUCUCCCUCUGUAGAUACAAACGAGUCAUAAGGUUGUUCCCAAGCCCCCCGUCCCAGCAGGGAUCCACAGAUGGUAGAUAGAUAGGUCACUCCUCUUCUGAUCCUGUUCAGUAACCAGCUCUAGUACUCAAGUUGCCCUCAAGACACCUGUUUGAAGAAUCUGUGACCCCAAUUCAGUGUGUGUUUAUUUAGCUUCUAACUCAUGCACACACACACACCCGAGCAAACAAGACUGAAAGGGCCAGUUACCUUGAAGGUCACCACAGGUGUGUUUGGCUGUCCCUGUCCUUUCACUCUUUCUACUCAUGUGAAACAGCCUCUUUGUCUCAGCUGUCACCUUGAAACACUCAGCGCCCUUUGUUUGGUUUUGGUCAUGUGACCUUAUGGCUCCUCACAGGCUGGAGUCAUUCAAAGAAAUCAAAGACAUUCAUAAUCUCUAUUAUAUUUCCUUGCCAUAAAAUGAGCUAUUAAUCACAUUUUAUGUGCUUGUAAUGCCUUUCUUCAUAGUUUAUUUUCAUAGUGGUCACAGCUCGAGGAUUUUAAGUCAAAUUUGUCAUGUUUUCAGACUAUUUAGAAAUAAUAAAUAAUACCACUGUUCAGCUUCAGUGCUUUUGUAAACGUGCCGGAUUGAUUAGCUCGCACCCAUUUAAGGCUUGUUUUGGAGCUUGGCCUCACGACCUGGGAAUGGAGGGGAGAUUCAUUUUCUUCCACAAACAUAUUAUGUCCCAAAAAAUGGGUAUUUGUGUUUUUAAAAAAAUAAUAAAAGUUAGAAUUAUACUCGACUGUAAUGUCACUUAAAUCAGUCAAA